GUGGGGAAUCUUCCGCAAUGGACGAAAGUCUGACGGAGCAACGCCGCGUGAGUGAUGAAGGUCUUCGGAUUGUAAAGCUCUGUUAAUCGGGACGAAAGAGCCUAGUGUGAAUAAUGCUAGGAAGUGACGGUACCGGAAUAGAAAGCCACGGCUAACUACGUGCCAGCAGCCGCGGUAAUACGUAGGUGGCAAGCGUUGUCCGGAAUUAUUGGGCGUAAAGCGCGCGCAGGCGGAUCUGCCAGUCUGUCUUAAAAGUUCGGGGCUUAACCCCGUGAUGGGAUAGAAACUACAGAUCUAGAGUAUCGGAGAGGAAAGUGGAAUUCCUAGUGUAGCGGUGAAAUGCGUAGAUAUUAGGAAGAACACCAGUGGCGAAGGCGACUUUCUGGACGAAAACUGACGCUGAGGCGCGAAAGCCAGGGGAGCGAACGGGAUUAGAAACCCGAGUAGUCC
rnacentral:rRNA from 1 species